rnacentral:rRNA from 1 species
CACCAAGGCGACGAUCAGUAGCUGGUCUGAGAGGACGACCAGCCACACUGGAACUGAGACACGGCCCAGACUCCUACGGGAGGCAGCAGUGGGGAAUUUUGGACAAUGGGCGCAACCCUGAUCCAGCCAUGCCGCGUGAGUGAAGAAGGCCUUCGGGUUGUAAAGCUCUUUUGUCAGGGAAGAAACGGUUGUGGCUAAUAUCCAUGGCUAAUGACGGUACCUGAAGAAUAAGCACCGGCUAACUACGUGCCAGCAGCCGCGGUAAUACGUAGGGUGCAAGCGUUAAUCGGAAUUACUGGGCGUAAAGCGUGCGCAGGCGGUUUUGUAAGUCUGACGUGAAAUCCCCGGGCUUAACCUGGGAAUUGCGUUUGAAACAC